rnacentral:rRNA from 1 species
UACGAAGGGGGCUAGCGUUGCUCGGAAUUACUGGGCGUAAAGGGCGUGUAGGCGGCACUGUUAGUCAGGCGUGAAAGUCCUGGGCUCAACCUGGGAACUGCGCUUGAUACGGCAGAGCUAGAGGAUGGAAGAGGCUCGCGGAAUUCCCAGUGUAGAGGUGAAAUUCGUAGAUAUUGGGAAGAACACCGGUGGCGAAGGCGGCGAGCUGGUCCAUUACUGACGCUGAGGCGCGACAGCGUGGGGAGCAAACAGG